UUUUGCAGAUUUUCAAAUAAAACUCAGAGAUUCCUUGUAUGACUCUCUCAAAUCUCUCUUUUGUGGUAUUUCUAGAUCCUUUCCAAGGCAGUAAUGGUAUAUGCCUUCUCUCAAAGUAUGUGGUAUUUUUGGUAUAAGGCAUAGUGAUAUUGCCUUCUCUCUCACCCUACUCUAAUAAGGUUUGAUAUCUGGAGCUCAUAGGUGGGAGACAGAUAAUACAUACUUACAAGACAUUUAUUGCAUAGUCAAACCAUGGAUCCAGAGAAACAAGUCAAUAAGUCAAAUCAAGAUGUGCAUGUGUGACGAGUGAAUGGUGUAUGGUGAUGAUGGUGAUAACAAUGGUGAAAAUCUAAUUCUACUUUUGCUCUUUUAAGGGGAUACAUACCUUUCUUGCACUUUGAAGCUUUUUGGGAGAAUGAGAUGCUCUAUAUUUUCUUUUUCUUUUCUCUCAGGUGGGUAUCUUGUACCCCUAAUUCUACUGUCGGACACUUGUCCAUUUUUACCUCUCGUCUCACUUUUUCUUUUAUUCGAGGUUCCAGGCACUUGCCCCUUUUUAUUUCCUCGUAUUAUAUAUAUAUAUUUUAGAGUACUCAUCUCCUGAAAGAAUGUAGCAAGUGGUAGUAACCAAAAUAACUGGAGCAUUUAUUUCACAGGGAAUAAUAACAGGGAUAGGAAAAUGUUUUUUGGCUAUUCUCUCCCGGAUUAGGAGUAGAAUAAUUUUGGGUGAAUCUGGAGAUGGAAAUGAGUGGAUGUAUGUGGAUGCGUACUUCCGGAGUAGAAGCAGCAUAUACGAGUGAACGUGCAAGUGAAUCUUGAUUUUAACCACAUGACAAGCUCCUAAGGGUCUACACAGCUUGACCACACUCAAUGCUCAUAAGCAGUAAAAAGUAAAUGUUUGGCUCAAAGUCUAAUAAGCAUGUAUAUAUGGCUGUGGUAGGAUUUUAAACUCUCAUCAUACAGGAACUCAUCAUGUGAUAUUUUAAAUAUUUUUUCAAAGAUAAAAUUCUCCAGAAUUCUAGCAUCUCUAGGAACAGAUAAACAACAGCUCAACCUUUCCAUGUCAUAUCCGUUAACAACUUAGACUUUAGAUCAAGUACUCUUCCCACAAGUUCAGGUUUAGAGCAGGUUUUAAAUUAUAACAGUUAUGCCUAAACUUGAGAGAGAUUUCAAUUUUAAGAACUAGUCAUGGCAGAGCAACUAUUCAUCAUUUGCAUGUGAGAGUUUAUCAUGAGGGUUCAUAGCAAAAUUUAUUUAUUUAUUUAUUUAGCAAACUAAGC
rnacentral:lncRNA from 1 species